AUUGAACGCUGGCGGCAGGCCUAACACAUGCAAGUCGAACGAGUGGCGGACGGGUGAGUAAUGUCUGGGAAACUGACUGAUGGAGGGGGAUAACUACUGGAAACGGUAGCUAAUACCGCAUACCAUCGGAUGUGCCCAGAUGGGAGUCGCUAGUAGGUGGGGUAACGGCUCACUUAGGCGACGAUCACGAGCUGGUCUGAGAGGAUGACCAGCCACAGUGGAACUGAGACACGGUGCAGACUCCUACGGUAGGCAGCAGUGGGGAAUAUUGCACAAUGGGCGCAAGACUGAGGCAGCCAUGCCGCGUGUAUGAAGAAGGCCUUCGGGUUGUAAAGUACUUUCAGCGGGGAGGCGUUACCCGCAGAAGAAGCACCGGCUAACUCCGUGCCAGCAGCCGCGGUAAUUC
rnacentral:rRNA from 1 species